rnacentral:rRNA from 1 species
UACGUAGGGUGCGGAGCGUUAAUCGGAAUACUGGGCGUAAAGUGUGCGCAGGCGGCAGAGCAAGUCGAGUGUGAAAGCCCCGGGCUUAACUUGGGAAUUGCGCUCGAAACUACUUUGCUGGAGUGUGGCAGAGGAAGGUGGAAUUCCACGUGUAGCGGUGAAAUGCGUAGAGAUGUGGAGGAACACCAAUGGCGAAGGCAGCCCCCUGGGCUAACACUGACGCUCAGGCACGAAAGCGUGGGGAGCAAACAGG